CACGUAGGGCGCGAGCGUUGUCCGGAAUUAUUGGGCGUAAAGGGCUCGUAGGCGGUUUGUUGCGUCGAAAGUGAAAAUCCGGGGCUUAACUCCGGACUUGCUUUCGAUACGGGCAGACUAGAGGUAGGCAGGGGAGAGUGGAAUUCCUGGUGUAGCGGUGGAAUGCGCAGAUAUCAGGAGGAACACCGGUGGCGAAGGCGGCUCUCUGGGCCUUACCUGACGCUGAGGAGCGAAAGCGUGGGGAGCGAACGGA
rnacentral:rRNA from 1 species